rnacentral:misc_RNA from 1 species
CCAUCAUCAGACUUAAAUGGCACUUGUAACUCAUAUAGGUGCAAAGUUCUCAUCAAUAGAAACGAAUUAAGUUCAAAAAGCAGGUAAUUGCUAUGAAUUGUUGAAGAGUUCCCUCGACUAACUUUUGUCUCCAUCAUCAGACUGUAAUGGCACUUAUAACUCAUAUAGGUGCAAAGUUCUCAUCAAUAGAAACGAAUUAAGUUCAAACAGCAGGUAAUUGCUAUAAGACGUUGAAGAGUAC